rnacentral:rRNA from 1 species
ACGUAGGUGUCGAGCGUUGUCCGGAUUUAUUGGGCGUAAAGAGCCCGCAGGCGGCUUGCCAAGUUCGAGGUGAAAUCUCCCGGCUCAACCGGGAGGGUGCCUCGAAAACUGGCAGGCUUGAGGCAGGGAGAGGGAUGUGGAAUUCCCGGUGUAGUGGUGAAAUGCGUAGAUAUCGGGAGGAACACCAGUGGCGAAGGCGGCAUCCUGGCCCUGUCCUGACGCUCAGGGGCGAAAGCGUGGGGAGCAAACCG